UGUGAUUUUUUGCUGGGUAAGGC
rnacentral:piRNA from 1 species